GAGAUAAAAGCUCCCGAGCAUGC
rnacentral:siRNA from 1 species